AUGACCUCAAAUCAGAUGAGACUACCCGCUGAACUUAAGCAUAUCUCACUGUCCGAGUUGUAAAUUGAAGAGAGUGUCACCCACACUGGACCAUGUCUAAAUUGUAAUGAUCCACAGUCCUUUGA
rnacentral:rRNA from 1 species